CAUUACCGAGUUAUCAACUCCCAAACCCCUGUGAACAUACCUAUAACGUUGCCUCGGCGGGACCGCCCCGGCGCCCCUAGCGGCCCGGAACCAGGCGCCCGCCGGAGGACCCAAACUCUUGCUUUGAACAGUGGCAUACUCUCUGAGUCUCACAAACAAAAAUAAAUCAAAACUUUCAACAACGGAUCUCUUGGCUCUGGCAUCGAUGAAGAACGCAGCGAAAUGCGAUAAGUAAUGUGAAUUGCAGAAUUCAGUGAAUCAUCGAAUCUUUGAACGCACAUUGCGCCCGCCAGCAUUCUGGCGGGCAUGCCUGUCCGAGCGUCAUUUCAACCCUCAGGGAACCCCUUCUGGGGGGGACCUGGUGUUGGGGUCCGGCCGCCCGCGCCGCCCCCGAAAUGCAGUGGCGACCUCGCCGCAGCCUCCCCUGCGUAGUAGCACAACCUCGCACCGGAGCGCGGAGACGGUCACGCCGUAAAACGCCCAACUUUCACGAGUUGACCUC
rnacentral:rRNA from 1 species